rnacentral:rRNA from 1 species
GAGUUUGAUCAUGGCUCAGGAUGAACGCUAGCGGCAGGCUUAACACAUGCAAGUCGAGGGGUAACAGGAUAGCUUGCUAUUGCUGACGACCGGCGCACGGGUGCGUAACGCGUAUAGAACCUACCUUUUACUGGAGGAUACCCUUUGGAAACGAAGAAUAAUACUCCAUAGUAUUAUAGAUUGGCAUCAGUUUAUAAUUAAAGAUUACGGUAAAAGAUGGCUAUGCGUCCUAUUAGUUAGUUGGUAAGGUAACGGCUUACCAAGACUACGAUAGGUAGGGGCCCUGAGAGGGGGAUCCCCCACACUGGUACUGAGACACGGACCAGACUCCUACGGGAGGCAGCAGUGAGGAAUAUUGGACAAUGGAGGCAACUCUGAUCCAGCCAUGCCGCGUGCAGGAAGACUGCCCUAUGGGUUGUAAACUGCUUUUAUAGAGGAAGAAACACUGGUACGUGUACCAACUUGACGGUACUCUACGAAUAAGGACCGGCUAACUCCGUGCCAGCAGCCGCGGUAAUACGGAGGGUCCAAGCGUUAUCCGGAAUCAUUGGGUUUAAAGGGUUCGUAGGCGGGUCAAUAAGUCAGAGGUGAAAUCUUGCAGCUUAACUGUAAAAUGGCCUUUGAUACUGUUGACCUUGAAUUACUGUGAAGUGGUUAGAAUAUGUAGUGUAGCGGUGAAAUGCUUAGAGAUUACAUAGAAUACCGAUUGCGAAGGCAGAUCACUAACAGUAUAUUGACGCUGAUGAACGAAAGCGUGGGUAGCGAACGGGAUUAGAUACCCCGGUAGUCCACGCCGUAAACGAUGGAUACUAGCUGUUCGGACGCAAGUUUGAGUGGCUAAGCGAAAGUGAUAAGUAUCCCACCUGGGGAGUACGUUCGCAAGAAUGAAACUCAAAGGAAUUGACGGGGGCCCGCAC